AACGAGUGAGGUAUGAUUUUCUAGCUAUUUUCCAUGCUCUAGCUGCUGGUUAGGUAGGAUUCCAGAAAUUCCAAGCGUAGAUCAUUCGAUUUUUCAAUCUAGGUUUCAGCCAGUUUUGAGAGUGUGAUUCCGGCCACUUUUUGAGGUAGGUCCAAGAACAAAAGUGGUUCCAAAAUGGGUGUUUUACCUAAGUUAGGAGUUUGGGCAGGCAGUUUGGAGUUUUUCCGGCCGCUAGGAAUUUCUCAAGCCACCCACGCGCUGCCGGCGCGUGUGGCAGUGCGUGGGCAGUUUGGUGGGGACCACACUCAGUCCUAAAAUGACCCUCGUGUUGUCACGAGCACGUAGGAUUUCGCGAAUCUUAAUUUGGAUAACGUAUGAACCCUGAACGGAUUUCGCAUCUUGUGUGAUUUUCGGGUUCAAUGGGUUCGAACCUUUGUUCGUGCGUUUGUGACCAAACCAACUGUCCGUUUGAGACCAGACUCUUGGGACUUGUGUCCUAGGUUUAACGGAACGUUAAUGUGGGCAUAGGAGUAACUUUAAUUAGAUGCACGCACUUCUAGGAGUCGGGGGUUAGGGUUUUAUUUAAAUAUUUAUAUCGAGCAGUUUUAUUAAUAUAUAUUAUUAUGAUAAUUGAAUCAGGCACCCGGGCACCAGUUGACCCGCAGGAGGGACCUUCAAAAGGUCCAGCGAGCUCGGACCAGCUGUGAGUGGACUUUUCUUUUAUAAGUAAUUUUAUGCAAAUGAAUUUCAUUAUUUGAUCUUGAAUAAGUUUUAUUGAUUAUGGUUUUCCUAGCAUGAUUUGUUGAAGUUAAAUAUCUUUAUUUAUAUGCUGCCAGUUGAAAAUGCUAAAAAGCUAUGGAAAGUAAAGAUUGAGAUAUAUAUCAAAUAAAAUGGCAGCAGCGUUCUAGAUUUAACAAAAAUUCAGUUAUUCAUCAGACCUUUCAGAAAUUUUAUAUUUUCUUAAACCACCUUAGGUACCCAGUUAUAGAAACAGGUUGCCUUCGGUAUAUGUUGCCUUCAGAUAUGACGAUGUCCACUGACAUCCAGUUUGCCUUCAGUUUUGUCAGCGCGCUUGACAUCUGCCUCAUGAGUUUCGGGGACGCCGGGACUGUGGGAGCCAGGAAUGUUGAUCAGGCUGACUACGGUCCCCUGAAUCCUACCAGUUUGCGGCUUGGGUUGACUUUGUGUCACCGAG
rnacentral:lncRNA from 1 species